ACAGCAGCCGCCACGGGAAUACAGAGGGUGCGAGCGUUAAUCGGAUUUACUGGGCGUAAAGCGUGCGUAGGCGGCUUCUUAAGUCGGAUGUGAAAUCCCUGAGCUUAACUUAGGAAUUGCAUUCGAUACUGGGAAGCUAGAGUAUGGGAGAGGAUGGUAGAAUUCCAGGUGUAGCGGUGAAAUGCGUAGAGAUCGGAAGGAACAUCUGUGGCGAAGGCGACUAUCUGGGCCAACACUGACACUGAGGCACGAAAGCGUGGGGAGCAAACAGGAUUAGAUACCCCCGUAGUCCCUGUCUCUUAUAC
rnacentral:rRNA from 1 species